rnacentral:rRNA from 1 species
AGAGUUUGAUCCUGGCUCAGGAUGAACGCUAGCUACAGGCUUAACACAUGCAAGUCGAGGGGAAACGACAUCGAAAGCUUGCUUUUGAUGGACGUCGACCGGCGCACGGGUGAGUAACGCGUAUCCAACCUGCCCACCACUUGGGGAUAACCUUGCGAAAGUAAGACUAAUUCCCAAUGAUAUCUCUAGAAGACAUCUGAAAGAGAUUGAAGAUUUAUCGGUGAUGGAUGGGGAUGCGUCUGAUUAGCUUGUUGGCGGGGUAACGGCCCACCAAGGCAACGAUCAGUAGGGGUUCUGAGAGGAAGGUCCCCCACAUUGGAACUGAGACACGGUCCAAACUCCUACGGGAGGCAGCAGUGAGGAAUAUUGGUCAAUGGGCGAGAGCCUGAACCAGCCAAGUAGCGUGCAGGAAGACGGCCCUAUGGGUUGUAAACUGCUUUUAUAAGGGAAUAAAGUGAGUCUCGUGAGACUUUUUGCAUGUACCUUAUGAAUAAGGACCGGCUAAUUCCGUGCCAGCAGCCGCGGUAAUACGGAAGGUCCGGGCGUUAUCCGGAUUUAUUGGGUUUAAAGGGAGCGUAGGCCGGAGAUUAAGCGUGUUGUGAAAUGUAGACGCUCAACGUCUGCACUGCAGCGCGAACUGGUUUCCUUGAGUACGCACAAAGUGGGCGGAAUUCGUGGUGUAGCGGUGAAAUGCUUAGAUAUCACGAAGAACUCCGAUUGCGAAGGCAGCUCACUGGAGCGCAACUGACGCUGAAGCUCAAAAGUGCGGGUAUCGAACAGGAUUAGAUACCCUGGUAGUCCGCACGGUAAACGAUGGAUGCCCGCUGUUGGUCUGAACAGGUCAGCGGCCAAGCGAAAGCAUUAAGCAUCCCACCUGGGGAGUACGCCGGCAACGGUGAAACUCAAAGGAAUUGACGGGGGCCCGCACAAGCGGAGGAACAUGUGGUUUAAUUCGAUGAUACGCGAGGAACCUUACCCGGGCUCGAACGGCACCUGGAUCGCCCAGAGAUGGGCGAGUCUUCGGACAGGUGUCGAGGUGCUGCAUGGUUGUCGUCAGCUCGUGCCGUGAGGUGUCGGCUCAAGUGCCAUAACGAGCGCAACCCCUGCCGCCAGUUGCCAUCAGGUGAUGCUGGGCACUCUGGCGGGACUGCCACCGCAAGGUGUGAGGAGGGGGGGGAUGACGUCAAAUCAGCACGGCCCUCACGUCCGGGGCGACACACGUGUUACAAUGGCGGCCACAGAGAGAAGCUACCCCGCGAGGGGAUGCGGAUCUCGAAAAGCCGUCCCAGUUCGGACUGGAGUCUGCAACCCGACUCCACGAAGUUGGAUUCGCUAGUAAUCGCGCAUCAGCCAUGGCGCGGUGAAUACGUUCCCGGGCCUUGUACACACCGCCCGUCAAGCCAUGGAAGCCGCGGGCGCCUGAAGUCCGUGACCGUAAGGAGCGGCCUAGGGCGAAAGUGGUAACUGGGGCUAAGUCGUAACAAGGUA